rfam:Beta vulgaris subsp. vulgaris Bvchr3_un.sca005.con0013.1, whole genome shotgun sequence.
GGGUGCGAUCAUACCAGUACUUAUGCACUAGAUCCCAUUAGAAAUCAGCAGUUAACCGUGCUUGCGCGAGAGUAGUACUAGGACGGGUGACCUCCUCGGAAGUCCUCGUGUUGCACCCC